rnacentral:rRNA from 1 species
CCUACGGGUGGCAGCAGUGGGGAAUCUUCCGCAAUGGGCGAAAGCCUGACGGAGCAACGCCGCGUGAUCGAAUGAAGGCCUUCGGGUUGUAAAGAUCUGUUGACAGGGACGAAUAAGCAAUGCGAAUAGUUUUGUGUAUGACGGUACCUGUUUAGAAAGCUCCGGCUAACUACGUGCCAGCAGCCGCGGUAAUACGGAGGGAGCAAGCGUUGACCGGAAUUACUGGGGGUAAAGGGCGGGUAGGUGGGCGCUUAAGUCAGGUGUGAAAACUCCGGGGUCAACCUGGUGACUGCACUUGAAACUGGGUGUCUUGAGGGCGGGAAAGGAAGGCGGAAUGCCUGGUGUAGCGGUGAAAUGCGUAGAUAUUAGGAAGAACACCAGUGGCGAAGGCGACUUUCUGGAGUGUACCUGACGCUGAGGCGCGAAAGCGUGGGUAGCGAACGGGAUUAGAUACCCCAGUAGUC